UUCAUAAGUGUUUAAACAGGUGCUGUCCUAAUCGGACAAGCAUAAUAGGGAAAACGGUUAAAUUCCGUUGCGGUCCCGCCACUGUAAUUGUGAGAAACCUAAUUGAUCUGCCACUGUGAAAACGGGAAGGCGUUAGGGGACGAUGAUCAAGAGCCAGGAGACCUGCCUGUUUUGUACAUGACAU
rnacentral:ncRNA from 2 species